rnacentral:piRNA from 1 species
UGAACUUGGCAAAGUAGGAGGACAGAC